rnacentral:rRNA from 1 species
GAAGUAAAAGUCGUAACAAGGUUUCCGUAGGUGA